rnacentral:rRNA from 1 species
GACGAACGCUGGCGGCGUGCUUAACACAUGCAAGUCGAACGGUAAGGCCCCAGCUUGCUGGGGUACACGAGUGGCGAACGGGUGAGUAACACGUGGGUGACCUGCCCCGCACUUCGGGAUAAGCCUGGGAAACUGGGUCUAAUACCGGAUAGGACCGCACCGUGAGGGUGUGGUGGAAAGUUUUUCGGUGUGAGAUGGGCCCGCGGCCUAUCAGCUUGUUGGUGGGGUAAUGGCCUACCAAGGCGGCGACGGGUAGCCGGCCUGAGAGGGUGGACGGCCACAUUGGGACUGAGACACGGCCCAGACUCCUACGGGAGGCAGCAGUGGGGAAUAUUGCACAAUGGGCGGAAGCCUGAUGCAGCGACGCCGCGUGGGGGAUGACGGCCUUCGGGUUGUAAACUCCUUUCACCAUCGACGAAGGUUUUCUGACGGUAGAUGGAGAAGAAGCACCGGCUAACUACGUG